ACGGAGGGGGCUAGCGUUGUUCGGAAUUACUGGGCGUAAAGGGCGCGUAGGCGGUCUUUUAAGUUCCGUGUGAAAUCCCUCGGCUCAACUGGGGAACUGCACGGGAAACUGGAAGGCUUGAGUUCGGGAGAGGGAAGCGGAAUUCCGGGUGUAGCGGUGAAAUGCGUAGAUAUCCGGAGGAACACCGGUGGCGAAGGCGGCUUCCUGGACCGACACUGACGCUGAGGCGCGAAAGCUAGGGGAGCAAACGGGA
rnacentral:rRNA from 1 species